rnacentral:rRNA from 1 species
CCUACGGGUGGCUGCAGUGGGGAAUAUUGGACAAUGGGGGGAACCCUGAUCCAGCCAUGCCGCGUGUGUGAAGAAGGCCCUCGGGUUGUAAAGCACUUUCAGUGAGGAAGAACGCCUGGUGGUUAAUACCCAUCAGGAAAGACAUCACUCACAGAAGAAGCACCGGCUAACUCCGUGCCAGCAGCCGCGGUAAUACGGAGGGUGUGAGCGUUAAUCGGAAUUACUGGGCGUAAAGCGCGCGUAGGUGGCUUGAUAAGCCGGUUGUGAAAGCCCCGGGCUCAACCUGGGAACGGCAUCCGGAACUGUCAAGCUAGAGUGCAGGAGAGGAAGGUAGAAUUCCCGGUGUAGCGGUGAAAUGCGUAGAGAUCGGGAGGAAUACCAGUGGCGAAGGCGGCCUUCUGGACUGACACUGACACUGAGGUGCGAAAGCGUGGGUAGCAAACAGGAUUAGAUACCCUAGUAGUC